UAAGGAAUAUUGGGCAAUGGACGCAAGUCUGACCCAGCCAUGCCGCGUGCAGGAUGAAGGCCCUAUGGGUUGUAAACUGCUUUUGUACGGGAAGAAACUUCCGCACGUGUGCGGAACUGACGGUACCGUGCGAAUAAGCACCGGCUAACUCCGUGCCAGCAGCCGCGGUAAUACGGAGGGUGCAAGCGUUAUCCGGAUUCAUUGGGUUUAAAGGGUGCGCAGGCGGAAUGAUAAGUCAGUGGUGAAAUCCUACGGCUCAACUGUAGAACUGCCAUUGAUACUGUCAUUCUUGAGUAUAGUUGAAGUGGGUGGAAUGUAUCAUGUAGCGGUGAAAUGCAUAGAUAUGAUACAGAACUCCGAUAGCGAAGGCAACUCACUAAACUAUAACUGACGCUCAUGC
rnacentral:rRNA from 1 species